UACAGAGGUCCCGAGCGUUGUUCGGAUUCACUGGGCGUAAAGGGUGCGUAGGUGGUGAGGUAAGUCGGAUGUGAAAUCUCCGGGCUUAACCCGGAAACUGCAUUGGAAACUACCUUGCUAGAGGUUUUGAGGGGGACUGGAAUUGCUCGGUGUAGCAGUGAAAUGCGUAGAUAUCGAGAGGAACACCGGUGGCGAAGGCGAGUCCCUGGAAAACACCUGACACUGAGGCACGAAAGCUAGGGGAGCAAACAGG
rnacentral:rRNA from 1 species